GCAGUUAUGGCUCCAAAGAUGAGGUGGACAAGAAGUAACAGAUUGUUAUAGGAGGAUGAAGAUGAAAAUCAUAAUGCUGAAAGGGAAGUCCAAGAAAUAUCUAAUGACCAGAAUGUAAUUGGUAGUAUAUCUGAAACUGGAACAGCAGUUUCUGGUAGGGACAAAGACCAUCAAAUUCAUCCAAGAUCAAGGCGUGCAUUUGAGUUGAGGAUGGGAAAAAGGAACCGACAUUUAGACACUUAGUACAGUGCUGGGAAUAAUGAUGUCAGUCGAUUUCAACAUUGUCGCAAGAGAUUUAUAAGCAGCCAACAAAACACUGCUGCAAUUUCAAAUCAAAGUUUUUCUGGUGAUGCAAAUUUGCAUAUUUAUAAUGCAAUUGAAAACAGUGGAUAAAGUUUGUAUACGAUUCGCUUA